GAGAAGGUGGCUCAGUGGUAGAGUGCUUGCCUUGCAUGCAUGAGGACCUGGGUUCGAUUCCUCAGCAUCA
rnacentral:tRNA from 1 species